GACAGAGGGUGCAAACGUUGCUCGGAAUCACUGGGCGUAAAGGGCGUGUAGGCGGGAAGCUAAGUCAGGUGUGAAAUCCCCAGGCUCAACCUGGGAACUGCACUUGAAACUGUCUUUCUUGAGUGUCGGAGAGGAAAGUGGAAUUCCUGGUGUAGAGGUGAAAUUCGUAGAUAUCAGGAGGAACACCGGUGGCGAAGGCGGCUUUCUGGACGACAACUGACGCUGAGACGCGAAAGCGUGGGGAGCAAACAGGAUUAGAUACCCUGGUAGUCCACGCUGUAAACGAUGAACACUAGGUGCUGCGGGUAUUGACCCCUGCAGUGCCGAAGCUAACGCAUUAAGUGUUCCGCCUGGGAAGUACGGUCGCAAGACUAAA
rnacentral:rRNA from 1 species